UACAGGGGGGGCAAGCGUUGUUCGGAAUUACUGGGCGUAAAGGGUUUGUAGGUGGCUUGUUAAGUCAGACGUGAAAUCCCUCAGCUUAACUGGGGAACUGCGUCUGAUACUGUGCGGCUAGAGUGCAGAAGGGGCAACUGGAAUUCUCGGUGUAGCGGUGAAAUGCGUAGAUAUCGAGAGGAACACCUGCGGCGAAGGCGGGUUGCUGGGCUGACACUGACGCUGAUGCGCGAAAGCCAGGGAAGCGAACGGG
rnacentral:rRNA from 1 species